CCUGGAGGCCAACACACUUCACCGCGUCCGCCUGGGGCAGGUCAGAUAAGGGACCCGAGGCAGCGCUAUCACCGGAUUCCGUGAGCCGCAGCGCCCUGGGCCCCGCUGAUCUUGUAUCAUUUCAGGGACUUUCUCUCCAGUCUUUGAUGGGGCCACACUCGGGGAGUAAAUUAGGAUCCUCAUUGAAGGGGCAGGACCCUGGGGGGCUUUUUCCUGGCCUGUUAGUUGUGGGUUUUCCUUCGGACGGCGGAGCCCCUUUCCAUUAGAACGGCCCAGAGGCAGGCGCUGCCUUCCCGGGGAGACGGAGCAGCAGGAAGCGUUUUCAGAUCCUGGAAUCCGUGGGCGGCCCGUGGGAGGGACUGAGGCGCAUUUUCCUACUCACCUGGCUCGGAAUCCACCGCGGUGCUGUUUAAAGAGAGUCAGAUUCCAGGUCGCGCUCCAGCCCGGACUCGGAAUUCCUGCCCCGCGGGUCUGCAUUUCACAGCGGCAGGUACCAGGGCGGGGUGACGGGUCAUCCCAGUCCUCGCAGUGAACUCCGGGCCACAGACUUGAAAACGCGCGCGGGCGCCCAGCGCAGCCUCGUCCUGAGUUACACAAGCGACCGUGCUGGGACGUUUCUCUUUCUUUUCCGGACCCAGCAGUGGCGCCUAAAGUCUGCGAGGAGAAAAUCUCCUGUGUGCUGGGAAGUCCAGGAAUCGAAGUCCUCCUCGGGGUCGCGCAUCACCCGCCCCCUGCACUUUCUGGUCUCUUCUUGCAUUUGGUCUCCUCACCUCUCUUCCGCCUCCUCUCACUUUUCGGACAAACCAGCCCUUCUGAUGUCCCUGGGUCCCCGGGCUGUUCCUGUGAAUGGCAUUCGAGGGCCCUUCCAGCUCUGCCGCUGAGGCAGCCACAUUUCCCGGUGCUCGGAGCGACUUUCGGGUCCCUGAAGCCCUGUCCUUUCCCUAGAGUCCGCGUGUUCUCAGCUCCCGGGCGGGCCGCAGUCACUGGAGUUGGGGCCCUCCUUUUUUCGGGACUAGGAGCCGGUGCUUCCUGUUGCUGUGGGGACUGUGGGGCUCCUGACUCUCAAGCUGAGGGGUUGGAGUCUGCAGGCUCCCGGCAGAGGAUUCUUCAUGCGACUUCUCCCAUCCAGCUCAUUCGCCCCUGGCCCGCCCUUCCCAGGGUUCUUUCCUCUCUGGCAACCCUCCCUGCUGCUGUGGACUCCAAUGAUCUAAGGACACUAGGUUCCCUCCAACCUCCUCCCCGUCCCAUCUCAGGGCCCCCUGGAUCCUGUUGUCCUCCCUGCUUCCUGCUACCCCUUUCUGUCUGCAGUUCUCUGAUCUAUUUGUAGGAUACCUCUGCCCUCAUUCCCUGCCCUGCCUCCGCAGGUCCCUCUUGCCUUUCUUAUGGGCCAUUCCUACAAGCAGCCUUCACCCAGUGCUGCCCCUAUGCCUCCCCCUUCCCAACUGUCCCUGACCCUAACUUUCUGGUGCUGCCUUUUGUCCCGUGGUCUUCCCUCCAUCGCACUUCCCUCCAGGCCACUUGUGGGGAGCCCUGGUGCUAAUGAAAGUAGGGCCUUAGGCAGGGCACAGGGCAGCACAGAUGCUUCCUCCCCUCCAGUGCAGGUGCCUGCUCUGGGCCCUGCCUCACGGUGGCCCCUUGCCCACUGCAUCCUCAGCCUCACCCUCUUGAGGACCCCACCCUGCAGCACACAGGUGCUGAACCAUCCCUCCCUGGUCCCUCUGCCCCUCUCCGCCUUGGGACCUU
ensembl:lncRNA